rnacentral:lncRNA from 1 species
AGACGGGAGGCCUGGGCUUGGGCAGCGGUGGCGGUGUCCUGGCCCCGACGGUGACGGAGGGCUUUGAUGAGGCCCGGCGGCCGCGUGCUUGCCAGGAAGGCCCGGGGCUUGAGGCCCUGGAAGGCCUGGCCCGUUCAGGAGUCCCGGCUGUUUGGGGGAAUGUCCCACGCCCUGUGGGGAUUUGAGCCGUGACUCCCGGCCGACUUGGGUGUCCCGGUUGGUGUGUGGUCGGGCCUGGGACGGGCUUGGUGCGGGCGGGAACCGCCGGGUAGCGACCACGUCUCGUCAGGGGGUUCGUGCCUGCUGCUGGGCACGGGAACGGCUCCGGGGGGGUCUUACGGGCGCUGAGGGGAUUCCGCAUCAUGGAGAGGUCAAGGGGAGUUGGUGGCCGUCACCCUUCGUCAGGGCAGGGUAGCAUCAGUGCUCCCGUGCUGGGGUUCCUGGAGAGCCGGCUGGCACGGACAGACUCUUGUGAGGGCAAGUGGCUGAUCGUGCGUCGGAUGGGUCCAGCAAAGGAGAGAAAGCUUCGGCGCGCGCGCGCUCGCCAGGGAAAGGGUGACAGCGGGUGGGACCGAGAGGGAGAGAGAGAGAGGGAGAGAACAAAGGAAGAGAGAGGGUUUCCGCAGGGGCGGUGAGUCCUGGCGGAAGUCCUGAGGCAGAGGAGGUGCCAGGGGUUUGGGUUUCCCGGUCGUGUCGGGGGUGUGGCGCAGGUUGCCCCAGUGGGCCUGAAUGUGCCUCCGUGGGGCACCUUGUUGCCGUGUUGGGGGGCGGGGAGCCGGCCUUGGGGAUCCAUCUUUCGGGCCCUGGGACGUGGGAGAAGAAUGCCGGGGCCUCUCUCUGUGCCCCUGGCACGCCUCUGUGCAGGCCGGGCCUGCACCCCCCCCCGCGCCCGUCCCCCAGGCAGGGUCCGUGUGGCUGCAGACACCCAGAGAGAGGGGAGGCUGGGGAGGCUGGGGAGCCGUGGCAGCCCGAUGCAGUGCGGGUCUCCAGGUGGAGGGGCCCUGGUCCCCUGGCGCCAGCGUGGCCCUUCCUCCUUGUGGAAACCCUUGUGGUGUGUGUGCUCUCUCGCCCUGACCCAGGAGAGCAGCAUGGCGGACCCCUGAUCUUGUGGCGUGCCACCGCGCGAGGCCGAGGAGCUCCCGCAGACCAGUGGGCGUGGCGUCCUUGUCGCGGCUCUGUGGAGACCUGGCGAUGGAGAGCAGCAUGGCGGACCCCUGAUCUUGUGGCGUGCCACCGCGCGAGGCCGAGGAGCUCCCGCAGACCAGUGGGCGUGGCGUCCUUGUCGCGGCUCUGUGGAGACCUGGCGAUGGAGAGCAGCAUGGCGGACCCCUGAUCUUGUGGCGUGCCACCGCGCGAGGCCGAGGAGCUCCCGCAGACCAGUGGGCGUGGCGUCCUUGUCGCGGCUCUGUGGAGACCUGGCGAUGGUGAGCGGCCCCUGUCCUCAGUGGUGGAGAACUCGCCCUUGGGGCGCUCGUCGGUCCGGAGCCCCGGGCCAGCCCCGCUUCUCGCGGGCUUUGGCCCCGGCAGGCCAGCUCCGGGGGCGUGAGGGGGAGCGUCCCGUCCUGCCCAGUGGCUCGUCUGUCUGGGCACGCCCCCAAACGCUGCCGUGAUGGAGCGGGUGGGAUGUCCAGGUGCGGAGGCCGUGAAUUUGCCUUGCGGCGGCGGAGCCCGUGCUCGGAUCGAUGAUGACUCCCUCUAAAGCAUUCCUUGGAAAUCUGAACAAAAUGAGUGAGAACUCACUACCGUCUCCUCAUCGAAACUGAGGUCCGGCACGUGGCGGCCACCGGGGGCUCGGGGGUAGAUGGGCCCUUGGCCUUGGGGCCUCUGUGUGUCAGCAGCCACUCGGGUGAGGUCUGGGGAAGGCGGCCGCCUGCCGGGCCCAGGAAGCAUGGGGCCCGUCGCCCGGCGCUGGCCUCGGGGAGAGGCCGCGUGCCCGAGCGUGCUGGAGAUCCCGGGCGGCCUCCCCGCCGGCCUUGGGGGGUUUCGCAAGCCGUCGCGGGGCCGAAAUUUGGGCCCGGCCCGCGAGGCAAGUGUGCGGCCCUAGGGCCCCAGGGGGCGUCCUGGCCCAGGCCGGGCGCCCUUCUCAGGAUGCUGUGGGGAGACGGGAUCCCGGCAGGGUAGUGUUCUCUUUCUGCUCUGGGGACCCCUGAGGGCCACCUGCUGCAGGGGUCUGUGGUAGCGGGGGCCCUUGGAUCAGGGCCGUCCCCCAUGGGAGGGGGGGAGCCUGGGAACCCCUGAGGGCGCUCCCCUGGGACGUCCAGGGAUGUUGGGGCGGAGGCUGGGGCUGGGUGGCGAGAAGGGGGCAGCUGAAGUGGUGGCGACAGGCGGGCAGA